rnacentral:rRNA from 1 species
UACGUAGGGGGCGAGCGUUGUCCGGAGUUACUGGGCGUAAAGGGCAUGCAGGCGGUCCGACGCGUUUUGUGUGACAGCGGGUGGCUUAACUACCCGAGCAUGCGAAAGACGGUUGGACUUGAGGACUCGAGAGGGACACGGAAUUCCGGGUGGAGUGGUGAAAUGCGUAGAGAUCCGGAGGAACACCGAAGGCGAAGGCAGUGUCCUGGCGAGUGACUGACGCUGAGGUGCGAAAGCCAGGGGAGCGAACGGG